CAGCAGCCGCGGGAAAACAGAGGGUGCAAGCGUUAAUCGGAAUUACUGGGCGUAAAGCGCGCGUAGGUGGUUUGUUAAGUUGGAUGUGAAAGCCCCGGGCUCAACCUGGGAACUGCAUCCAAAACUGGCAAGCUAGAGUACGGUAGAGGGUGGUGGAAUUUCCUGUGUAGCGGUGAAAUGCGUAGAUAUAGGAAGGAACACCAGUGGCGAAGGCGACCACCUGGACUGAUACUGACACUAAGGUGCGAAAGCGUGGGGAGCAAACAGGAUUAGAUACCCCAGUAGUCCCUGUCUCUUAUAA
rnacentral:rRNA from 1 species